AAAAAGUGCAUACCAGCCAGACCCUGAUGUAUACUUAGAUGCAAUUGGUCAACCAAGAGGAAUACUUCAUAAUUGUAAAGUUAGAGAUGAAGUAAAAUCAGGCUUUGAGUCUAUAUUUGUAUGGAUACCGGUUCAUAAGAAUACAGAAUGGAUUAAUUACAUUUACGGUUAAUAAGAAUACAGAAUGGACUAAUUACAUUUACUACAAUCAGCAAAGAUUCAUUAAUUACAUUGAUGACGCAUUGAAGGACUUAGGAGAACAAAUAGGACCUACAAGUAAAAUAGCAUGGUUAGAAAUUGGUUUGACAAACUAUUUGGAUCCUGGAAAGAAUGGCUUACUAAAGUGGGAGUAAUAAUAGCCGGGAUUUGAACUGGCAUCAGCCGGCAUGGGAGGUGGAGGUGCUAAUGAGGAGGCUUAAGGCUACAGCUCUAGCGUAAAUCACUAGUGCGCCUCUUGAGGCCAGGGGAGUGAGGUUUACACAUACCGCACAGCUAUCAUGUACCAUCUAGCUCCUGUUACACUCACUCCCCUAAACCUCACUCCCAUCCAGGUCACGGCACCACUGUAACCAGUCCUGCUCGACCCGCUCCGAGCGGAAUUCGAACUGGCAUUAGACAGCAUGGUAGGUGAGCAUGCUAAUGAGGAGGCUAAAGGCCUGACCGUACAUUUCAACUGGCGCGUUGAGCAAAGGUGAGCAAGCGUUUUCAAUUUAUUCCUAUGGAAGUUGAGCGCCACACUCUCGAGGUGGAUUGUGGGAUUGACAGCAGUGCAAUGAAGGUGCUGAGAGCAGUCAAUGGUGUCGAAAAAUUUCAAAUUCCUCUGCUUUAUGCAAAUGAGGAAUGAAAAAUCCUGGGUGGCAGCCAAUCACUGUGAGCUGAAACCAGUGACGUCUGUCAUAAGCACUUAAAAUAUCUCUUUAAUGCUGGAGUUUCUGCUGGAUUCAGUGCUUUAAUCACAUCAUCAUGUACAGAGGUGGUUCUCAAUUUUUUUGGGUCACGCCCCCCUUUGAAACAAGAAAAACUUCAUCAAUCCUCAUCCAGUAAUAAUAAUUAACUGUGAUUGUCGCAUCCUAGCCAGCACUGAAAAAAGUAACAAGUAUCACGUGACAGUGCCAUCUACGCGCUGUUUCAGUAGUGGUCAGAACCUCUGGACAAUAAUUAACACCUGAUUAAUUAUAAUGAUAAAUGGACCGGCAUCCCGGCUCCUCGGAUGAUCAAGAGCCAAACUAACUCGGAGGCCACAAAAAAAAAACACCAUAACUUACUCACCCCGUCAACUUUAUAAAAGACAUCAUUUAUGUGAGCAUGUAGAUAUUUUGCGGUCAUCCAUAGUGUCCAUUCUCGAUCUGGCCGAGAACUUCAGUGUAAAAAAGAUCUUCCAUCAAUGCAAAAGUUUCUUGGAGUCAUGCCACAAAACAAACUCCAGCUGCUAGGCAGAGCCAGUGCAAAAAAGAAACAAAAAUGGUACCCAGCUUCCUCAGAUAAUAGAGUUCCUGAACCACGAGUCAGUCCACUAAUAUAAGAAACAUCAAAUGGUUUACUCACUCUAAUGAAGGAGAGUGCCUGUUUUGGACAUGUAAAUACUUUGCGACCAUUCUUCGUUUCUAUUCUCAAUUUGGCCGGGAACAUCAUUGCAAAAGUGAUCUUCUGCUGGUGUAAGUGUUUCUUACAUUCCUUGAACCGAUCGCGUUUCUCUCUUGUCGAAUUCGCAAAGUCCAGGAACAAGAAAAUAUUAUGGUUCUUCCAAGAAAGCUUUCCUUUGCUCCUCGCCUGGCGCAACACGAGAUCUUUAUCGGAUGAUCUCAGAAAUUUGGCCAAAAUCGAUCGGGGCCUAUUUCCCUCAGCAGAUCUGCGAGCAAGGACUCUGUGAGCUCGCUCAAUUUCCAGCUUGUGGCCUCGGGAAGAGCUCGUCCAGGAAUUUCACCAUAUCUCUGCCCUCUUCAUGCUCAGGAAUUCCAACAAUUCGUAUGUUAUUCCUUCAGCUCAUAUUUUCAAAAUAUUCCAGUUUUUCCAAAAUGAAUUCCAAAUCUGUUUUGGACGUGGGCAGAUUAGCGGAUAAUUCCCUUUGCGAUUACUCAAGAUAAUCGAUUCGUUUUUCAACUUCUGUCACUCUUGUAACCAAUUCAGAGAAUUUUGUUUCCAUUGCCGUAAUCGAUCGACGUAUUACAGCGAGAUCUUCCAAGUCAGCAACAACCUUCGUCAGCAUCACCGAGAUGUUGGACAGUUGACGCUGAAUUUCAUCUCCCGACGCACCAUCUAAAUUGUGUCCCCGGCUCGCAGUCCCGCCAGAGGCCUCAGCUUUUAAUGUCUCCAGAGUCUGAGGAUUUUGACUUCUUUGCCAUGUUUACCUCAAAGAGCAAGUAUGUAACUGGGUGUAUCGAAUCUCACCAGAUUAUAACAUGAAAAUAAUUAAAAAACUAGCAAAGUUCGCAGAGCUCAUGUCUCACACGACUGCUUCUCGCAUGGCGUCCCCGGAAAAAAACUACAGUACAAUAAUAUUGUUUGGGGUUCAUUUGACCCCAGUUUGACCCCCAUCAAAAACACAUUGUAGAAGACGUCUACAGCGUGUACUCCAAAUGUAUUUAUUCAUGUUUUAUACAUGGACACACCUAAUAUAAGUAGCAUUCUUCAUGAAGGAAGUUUGAAUGAAGUUGAAAAAUAGUUUAUAAUCAGCACUCAUAAGAUUUAGGAAAAGUCAUGCAGUAUAAACCUGAAACUUCAUUGUUCUGUAUGAGUUUGAGCUAUUAUUUUUGAGUUAUCCAAACCCAAGCAAAACAUUCUGGAACAAUAAAAUGAAAAGAAAAUGUUUGGCACAUCAAAAAUGAAUAUAUGAUUCAUAUACAGUAUUUCCAAACAUUCAUAUCUGCAUGUAGCCUACUAUGUAUCAAGCACUGACCUGUAUAAGCCAAUCUUUGUUAAUGACUUAUUAAUUAUUGUUGUUAUAAGGAGUUGCCCUGAUUUUACUUUAAAAACUUUUAAAUUAAGAGACAACUAUGAACACCAGUGACUACAUGAUUAUCUGGCAAUCGUAAUUGUUAUUUCCUCAGGUGACAAGAAUUUUGGCACAGAGUCAAAUGUCUUUCAGAAUCAGCCAGGCGUGAGGUAUCAAAGGCAAUGCAGGAAGCGACACUGGACUGACCUGACUUGGAAGACUCGUGAUGUCAUGUCGCCGAAACUUCAGGAGUGGGCUGUUUGUUUUUGGGCGUUGAAGAAAACACGUGUGAGAAAUGAGUAUAUAUAGAGAGAGAUGAGCUGGAAGGCAUGAAGCUGAGCUUAUUAAACUACCAGUUAUGGAGCACGGAAAAGAAGACGUAGCCUCUAAAGAAUACGCUGUUUUAAUGGAGCAUGACCCUGUAAGCCGACUGAAGACGCAGCACCGCUCGUUACGGCGACAGAUGUGCCUCAUUCAGUUUAUGACUGUUUUUCUCUGCAUCAGCUGCUGUCUGUUCACUCUCAUGUAUCAGCCAUAUGCGUCAAGCUGCAAGGAGAAUGAAAUCAAAAAGGCACCUGAAAUUGGGAUGCAGAGACAAGCUCCUGAAUCCGAUAGUAGAGAAGACAUUACCCUGGGACAAAGCCCCACGCGUUUUACUCGCCUGACAAUUAAACAAAAACCUGGUGUCUCUGGUGCUGGUAAUGUGACAUGGAUUUUGAAAAGUCCAGAGCCAGACCAUAAGGAAUACUUCACCUUGGAUAAUGACUGUGAAUCUCUGAAAGUGCAUCGUGAUGGGACUUACAAAGUUUCUCUGCAGAUCAUGUACAGGGGAUUAGAAGGAUACAUUGGUGAUGGUGAACAAUCACAGCAUGGAAUUCUGCACCAUGAAAUUCACCAUUACACCGACAGUUAUCCUAGAGUCCCGCCCCUGCUCACCUACAUGGAAACAGUGAACUUUAAGAGUCCAUACUGGAAGAAAACUCUGUUCUCAGAAGGUAUCUUUUCUCUCAACACUGGGGAUAGACUGAAGGUGUGGUCCAGUCAUCUUAUCCUCAUUGAUGUUGGAGAAAAGGUGGAACAAAAAACAUUCUUUGUGGCAUAUCCUCACUUUUUCAGUUAAAAAAACAAAAAUGACUUUUCUUGGAUAGCUUUGCUUAAGGGCUGCUUCCCACAAUGUGUAUCACAUUAGAGCCAUAAACAAUAGCAGAUGCAUCUACAGAAAUAGGGAGUUCCUUAUAAAAUAAAUAAAUAAAUAGUAAUAAAAAAAAAAUCAGACAUUGGUUUCAGUUUUAAAUAAAAACACUAAAAUCCAGGAUAUUCAAUGGCACAUGAAAUUCCAGCAAAAUGAAUAAAAAAAUAAAUAAAUAAAAUAAAAAAAUAAAAAUAAAAAAAGAGGCAGACUUUGAUGUUUCACUUUCACGGAGAAUAUGAUAGGUACAAAUAUAAAUAUCUUCCUCUUUCGGCUGCUCCCGUUAGGGGUCGCCACAGCGGACCAUCCGUGAUCCGCAUAUUUGACUUGGGACAGGUUUUACACCGGAUGCCCUUCCUGAUGCAACCCCCAGUAGCUGGGGGACUAUCACUCACACCUACGGGGCAAUUUAGAGUCUCCAAUUCAUACAAAUAAUAAAUAUAAUAAGUAAUAAUAAGUCCUCAAAUACUCAAUCUCUACAGAGCGCAGCAAUUUCCGCCCACUUUUUUCAGUCAUCUUGGUUCCGGAAGUAUUUUUUCAGUAAAAGAGUUCUAAGCAAAAAAAACAGCCAGUUCCAAGGUGAAUCACAACACUACAAACUUUGAUUUGAAGCAAAAAAAUAUUUGAAUAUAGGACAAAAAGACAGAGGUACAAGUGUACCUUACCAUCUUUCCUGAUGGAAUGAAAUACAAUCCCAUGAAGCAUUGCAAAUGAUGUAAUCAAAUAAAAAAUGGUAGAAAAUCUUCAACAGAAGCAUAUACCAUCUAUUAACAACCACAGAGCUUGGUCUGUCUUCAGAGGUUUUUAAGUAAUCAUUAAGAAUAAAUCUGCCAAUGGAGAAAAUGAAUGGAAUUUUUACUUCAGAAACCAGGCAGUUGUGCUAAAUUGUAAUACUGUACUUACUAACUUAUGUUCUGAUAUUGUAAGUGUAUUUUUGUAUAUAUAUUUGGUAAAAAAAAAAAAAUUAAACAGGGAGUUUCACCACAUUCAUGUCAAAGAAAAAUGUACAUGGAAGUAUUGUCUACUACAAUAUCAUGGUUGCUGUCAUACAAAUUUCUAUAUAGUGCAUUACUCAGGAUUAAUGGGGUCUGUUAACUAUUAUUUCCUUAAAUUCCCAAAUGUCAUCAUAAUAAUGAUUUUGUAUGAAAUAUUUUUCUAUAUUUUUAUGAUAGUUCACUGCC